CCUCCAUGCUAUUCUUGAGAUAGUGAAUAAGUUCUCAUGAGAUCUAAUGGUUUUAUAAGGGGCUUCCCUCUUCACCCAGCUCUCAUUCUUCUUCUUCCUUAUGCCAUGUGAAAAAGAUAUGUUUGCUUCCCUUUCCACCAUGAUUGUAAGUUUCCUGAGGCCUCCCCAGCUCUGCAGAACUGUCCUGGGAAAUAUAAUGUACCAUUUGGAUUCUCUGAGAGACAGACACUGAGGGGAAGAACACUCAUCCUGGAAGAAGCCAGCUACCAUGACUUGAGGACACUUAGCCCCAAGGAAAAGCCAUUAGCAAGGAACUGAGACUUCCCGUCAACAGCCAUGUGAGUGGGCCUUCCUGGAAAUUGAUCCUGCAGUUUCAGUCAAGGCUUCAGAUGAUGCAACCCAGAUGCUGAACCAGAAACACCCAGUGAAACCACGCCUAGAUUCCUGACUCUCAGAAACUGUGGGAGAAUAAAUGUUUGUUUUAAGCCACUAAAUUUGGGGGCAAUUUGCUAUGUAACAAUAGGUAACUAAUACAAUAAGUUAAAAUGCAACAUCUGAGAAAUUUAGAACAUAAACUCCUUGAUGAUAAUGUUAUAUUUGUUCUUUGGGAGAAAAAAAAAACUGAAAAGAAAUCUCUUCAUCUUAUUGUGAGGAUGUAAAAUGCAUAUUCCAGCCACAUUAUAUUCAGUUUUCAAAUCACUUUUAUCCACCCAGUUAUCAAGGACCUUGUAUAUACAUUCUAUUAGGAUAAAAUGAUAGAAAUAUAAAGAAGUGGUAAUAUCUUCAAAAUGCUUAAACCAAAAGUCUGAGACCGACAUCUUGCAGCAGGUUUUUUGUUUUCAUUCUCAGCAUUCAUUUGCAUUUUAUUUAACCCAAGUUAAUAGCUAUCUAGGCUGUACAUUUUCCAUUAGACCUUUAAGAUCCAUUCUUUUCUUUUCUACCUUAGUUUGUACUUUGAUGCUGGCCUUUGGGGACUGAAUCUAUAUGCCCCUCUGCCCUCUGGCUUUCUCUUGGUUUCAGCCAAUGGAAGAGCAUGCAGGAGACCAGAGAGUGAGAGAGGAAUAAGAUGAAGGUACCUCUACUAUUGGCUCCUUCCCUACCAUGGAUUGGCUACUUCUCUUCACCCAAGACUAUGCUCUGGUCAGGCAGCCCACCUAGCUCUCUCCCAUAGCCACAGCUGGCCCCCUAGGGCUGAGGAGCGGUAAUGCUUCCUGCUGUUGCUAAUCCCGGGGUGCUUCACCAUUCCUCAGCAGAUGAGGGAAACCCUACUCACACCUUUUUAAAUACUUAUUUUAUUUGUUAAUGACUUGGCUUGAAUGUGCCAUGUAUUCCCUACCAGGGCUGAACAAUACACCAACCUUUUUAAAAUGUGAAAUUUCCCAAAAAGGUUAGAAUUAUCACACUCAUCUUUAAAGAUCAGAAUAUCUGGAAUGCUGGGUCCAUAUUCCCAAGCAGCUGGCAUCUAUGCCCUUUUGACAAACAGUGGUCUCUCCAGUGACCCACCAGUCCCCACCAUUGCCUGUUGUGCAACUCGCUUGAUCAAUUCCAAACAUGUGUAGGAUGUGCUUGCACCUUUAUCCUUAUUGGAGCUUGUGAACUCAGGCUAAACUGUGGCAGGAGAGACGGUGUUUAACACAAAUCACUUUAUGCAGUGUGGAAUGUUGAUGCCAAGAAGUGAUCCAGACAACAAAGACAAUGGCAAUUAACUGGAUGGAACAUUCAUUUCUGUGUGUGAGAACUUAUAUAGGGGACUGGACCUUGACACUUCUCUUUGAAGAACAAUACCACACUUGAAACUUUAUAAGGUAUGGGCUGGUUAGGAAGUGUAGUCAUUAUUUACACCAUUGCUUGCAUAGGAAAAUAAAUUCUGGGAUCCAAACAACUGAUUUAACAGUAACAUUUUUAUAAUAUAAUCCAUUAAUUAAAUUGGUGACCUCUUUAUAAGUAAC
rnacentral:lncRNA from 1 species